rnacentral:rRNA from 1 species
UGCCUACGGGACGCAGCAGUGGGGAAUAUUGCACAAUGGGGGAAACCCUGAUGCAGCAACGCCGCGUGAGUGAAGAAGUAUUUCGGUAUGUAAAGCUCUAUCAGCAGGGAAGAAGAAAGACGGUACCUGACUAAGAAGCCCCGGCUAACUACGUGCCAGCAGCCGCGGCAAUACGUAGGGGGCAAGCGUUAUCCGGAUUUACUGGUGUAAAGGGAGCGUAGACGGUAUAGCAAGUCUGAAGUGAAAGCCCGUGGCUCAACCGCGGAACAGAUUUGGAAACUGUUAAGA